UACGUAGGGGGCAAGCGUUAUCCGGAUUUACUGGGUGUAAAGGGAGCGUAGACGGUUAUGUAAGUCUGAAGUGAAAGCCCGGGGCCCAACCCCGGGACUGCUUUGGAAACUGUGUAACUAGAGUACAGGAGGGGCAGGCGGAAUUCCUGGUGUAGCGGUGAAAUGCGUAGAUAUCAGGAGGAACACCGGCGGCGAAGGCGGCCUGCUGGACUGAAACUGACGUUGAGGCUCGAAAGCGUGGGGAGCAAACAGG
rnacentral:rRNA from 1 species